GACGAACGCUGGCGGCGUGCCUAAUACAUGCAAGUCGAGCGGACGAAUCGAAAGCUUGCUUUUGAUUCGUUAGCGGCGGACGGGUGAGUAACACGUGGGCAACCUGCCCUGUAGACGGGGAUAACACCGAGAAAUCGGUGCUAAUACCGGAUAACACGAAAUGUCGCAUGACGUUUCGUUGAAAGACGGCGCAAGCUGUCGCUACAGGAUGGGCCCGCGGCGCAUUAGCUAGUUGGUAGGGUAACGGCUCACCAAGGCGACGAUGCGUAGCCGACCUGAGAGGGUGAUCGGCCACACUGGGACUGAGACACGGCCCAGACUCCUACGGGAGGCAGCAGUAGGGAAUCUUCCGCAAUGGACGAAAGUCUGACGGAGCAACGCCGCGUGAGAGAAGAAGGCCUUCGGGUCGUAAAGCUCUGUUGUUAGGGAAGAACAAGUAACGCAGUAACUGGCGUUACCGUGACGGUACCUAACGAGAAAGCCACGGCUAACUACGUG
rnacentral:rRNA from 1 species